GGGCAUAUAGCUCAGUUGGUUAGAGCGCACGCCUGAUAAGCGUGAGGUCGGAAGUUCAAUUCUUCCUAUGCCCA
rnacentral:tRNA from 1 species